AUGAACGCUGGCGGCGUGCCUCAUACAUGCAAGUCGAGCGAACAGACGAGGAGCUUGCUCCUCUGACGUUAGCGGCGGACGGGUGAGUAACACGUGGAUAACCUACCUAUAAGACUGGGAUAACUUCGGGAAACCAGAGCUAAUACCGGAUAAUAUAUUGAACCGCAUGGUUCAAUAGUGAAAGACGGUUUUGCUGUCACUUAUAGAUGGAUCCGCGCCGCAUUAGCUAGUUGGUAAGGUAACGGCUUACCAAGGCAACGAUGCGUAGCCGACCUGAGAGGGUGAUCGGCCACACUGGAACUGAGACACGGUCCAGACUCCUACGGGAGGCAGCAGUAGGGAAUCUUCCGCAAUGGGCGAAAGCCUGACGGAGCAACGCCGCGUGAGUGAUGAAGGUCUUCGGAUCGUAAAACUCUGUUAUUAGGGAAGAACAAAUGUGUAAGUAACUAUGCACGUCUUGACGGUACCUAAUCAGAAAGCCACGGCUAACUACGUG
rnacentral:rRNA from 1 species